rnacentral:rRNA from 1 species
AGAGUUUGAUCCUGGCUCAGGACGAACGCUGGCGGUGUGCUUCACACAUGCAAGUCGAACGAGGUAGCAAUACCUAGUGGCGGACGGGUGAGUAACGCGUGAGAAUCUGCCUUAAGAUGGGGGAUAACGGGCCGAAAGGCUCGCUAAUACCGCAUAUGCCGAAAGGUGAAAGGAGUAAUCCGUCUUAAGAUGAGCCCGCGUCCGAUUAGCUAGUUGGUAGGGUAAAGGCCUACCAAGGCGACGAUCGGUAGCUGGUCUGAGAGGAUGAUCAGCCACAAUGGGACUGAGACACGGCCCAUACUCCUACGGGAGGCAGCAGUGGGGAAUUUUACGCAAUGGGGGAAACCCUGACGUAGCGACACCGCGUGAGCGAAGAAGCCCCUUGGGGUGUAAAGCUCUGUCAGCUGGAACGAAAAAAAUGACGGUACCAGCAGAGGAAGCAUCGGCUAACUACGUGCCAGCAGCCGCGGUAAGACGUAGGAUGCGAGCGUUGUCCGGAUUUAUUGGGCGUAAAGAGUUCGUAGGUGGUUUGUCAAGUCUGAUGUUAAAGAUCGGGGCUCAACCCUGGGACUGCAUUGGAUACUGGCAGACUUGAGUGUGGUAGAGGCUAGUGGAAUUCCCAGUGUAGCGGUGAAAUGCGUAGA